rnacentral:rRNA from 1 species
AUGCAUGCGUGUGUGUGCGUGACGGCGGAGGGAGGGACGAGAGGGAGAGAUGGGGAUCAGGAGAGAGCGGUCCGGCUAGGGUUAGGUGGGGCACCGACUGGGCCUUGGGCCAUGGAGGUGGCUAGGCUGCGGAGUAGGAUGGGCCGGCCUGGGAGGCUGGCUGGGCUCUCUCCCUUUCUUCCUUCUUUUCUUAAAACAGAGAAAAAGAAAGGAAAGGGAAGAAAAGAAAAGGUUAGAGAAAGAGUUUGGGCAUGGGGAUUAUUUUCUCAGACUCAGAAAAAUGAGUUUGAUCCAAGAAAAUAG